rnacentral:lncRNA from 1 species
AUAGAAGUAUUGCAACUACUAUAAACAUGAACAUAAACAUAAUCAUAGGAGUGUAAGUACUACUAUACACUACAACUGAUACUCCUUCAUUACUGUCAUUAUCAUUUUCACUUUCAUUUUCAUUCACUAGGACCUACUCAAGGUAGUCCAGCUUGCGCCGUGCCUGAUGGCCCCGUGGUAGUAUACACUCCCCACGGCAAUCCACUUCGGCACCCAAUCCCGCACGGGCGAGCAACUAUCGCGUAGGCUAACUCCGGAGUGCCGGCUUGUAGGGAGCUACCCUCACAAGCGUGUGCGAAUGAGCACGAUGGCAAGCAAGCAAAGUCCAUUAAC